UUUUUAUCUAGACAUAGGAUAGGUUGUGUGAAAAUAUUACUGAUGUUUAACGUUAAAAAUGGACCAAAAGAUUAAUGCUAAACAACAUUUGACAUGUUUGAACGAACAUAAAUAGAUUAUUUACUAGGUUUUUUUAGCUUUUCGGCGUGAUUUUACCAGCCCCACACCACGUUUUGUGGGAGCAUAAUGAACGCUAAGUACUUGGUGUUAUUUGGACAUAAAUUAUGAACUUUGUCAAAAGAAACCACAUUUGUUCCGGACCUGGAAUGCCUUCCGGACCUGGGAUCCUGCCUUCUGAUGGAGAUAAUCAAAGCUACCUUUUAGAUCGAAGCCCAAAUAGAAUGAUUGAAGAUGAUAGAAGCCCAUCUCCUACUGCCAGCCAGCCAGGUAGAAAAUGGCAGAAAAAUAAAAGACGGACAUCAGAGUAUUUUUCAGUACACCAAAACGCAAAACAGAGCAGGCAACAGAUGGCACACAGACAGCAGAGUUGGGGACAGAUAUGCAGGGACAGACUGGCAGAGACAGGGAGUCUCAGGUAAGUUUGUUGAGUCUUUGUUUGGCAACAUUAUGAAAGGUUCUCAAUUUUUUUGACUUGUAAAAUAGGAACAUAAUUGGAAAAUGCCAUGGAUACCCCCACUCUCAAACUGGUGACUGAACUAAUAUUUGUUAAAGGCAAUGGUAUUGCUGUUGUGAUUAGUUGUGUAGUUUUGGGUACCGGUAGUUAGGAGUACGGCAAACACCUUAUUUCUUUGGUUCCUCAAUAUACAUUUACCAUAUUACAAUGUAGGCUAUGUGUUACAGCACAACUUUUGGUGUCCCCCUCAGGAAUUGCUUUUGAGAAAAUGUCAUGUAAUUGUCCCCUCCAAAGUUGAUAUCAGAUUUUCGCCCCUGGGGUCAUAGGCAGCAUUCCUCCUCCUCCAAACACGGCAAGUUGAGUUGAUGCCAAAGAGCUCCAUUUUGGUCUCAUCUGACCACAACACUUUCACCCAGUUGUCCUCUGAAUCAUUCAGAUUUUCAUUGGCAAACUUCAGACGGGCAUGUAUAUGUGCUUUCUUGAGCAGGGGGACCUUGCGGGCGCUGCAGGAUUUCAGUCCUUCACGGCGUAGUGUGUUACCAAUAGUUUUCUUGGUGACUAUGGUCCCAGCUGCCUUGAGAUCAUUGACAAGAUCCUCCCGUAUAGUUCUGGGCUGAUUCUUUACCGUUCUCAUGAUCAUUGCAACUCCACGAGGUGAGAUCUUGCAUGGAGCCCCAGGCCGAGGGAGACUGACAGUUCUUUUGUGUUUCUUCCAUUUGUGAAUAAUCGCACCAACUGUUGUCACCUUCUCACCAAGCUGUUUGGCGAUGGUCUUGUAGCCCAUUCCAGCCUUGUGUAGGUCUACAAUCUUGUCCCUGACAUCCUUGGAGAGCUCUUUGGUCUUGGCCAUGAUGGAGAGUUUGAAAUCUGAUUGAUUGAUUGCUUCUCUGGACAGGUGUCUUUUAUACAGGU
rnacentral:lncRNA from 1 species